rnacentral:rRNA from 1 species
CCUACGGGUGGCAGCAGUGAGGAAUUUUGGUCAAUGGCCGUAAGGCUGAACCAGCCAAGUCGCGUGAAGGAAGAAGGAUCUAUGGUUUGUAAACUUCUUUUAUAGGGGAAUAAAGGUAUCCACGUGUGGAUAUUUGCAUGUACCCUAUGAAUAAGCAUCGGCUAACUCCGUGCCAGCAGCCGCGGUAAUACGGAGGAUGCGAGCGUUAUCCGGAUUUAUUGGGUUUAAAGGGUGCGUAGGUUGUUUUUUAAGUCAGCGGUGAAAGUUUGUGGCUCAACCAUAAAAUUGCCGUUGAAACUGGCAGACUUGAGUUGGCGAGAAGUACGCGGAAUGCGCGGUGUAGCGGUGAAAUGCAUAGAUAUCGCGCAGAACUCCGAUUGCGAAGGCAGCGUACCGGCGCCAGACUGACGCUGAGGCACGAAAGCGUGGGGAUCGAACAGGAUUAGAUACCCGGGUAGUC